AAUCCAUGUUGAGGACACUUCCACAAAAGGUCCUUGAAUCGCUCCCAUGUCUCAAACAAGGACUCGAGCUCCAUCUGAACAAAUGAUGAAAUCUCAUUACAAAGCUU